rnacentral:rRNA from 1 species
GACGAACGCUGGCGGCGUGCUUAACACAUGCAAGUCGAACGGAAAGGCCCUGCUUUUGUGGGGUGCUCGAGUGGCGAACGGGUGAGUAACACGUGAGUAACCUGCCCUUGACUUUGGGAUAACUUCGGGAAACAGGGGCUAAUACAGGGUAGGAGAUCCUGAUGAAUGGGGGGGGUUGGAAAAUUUCGGCGGUGGGGGAUGAAAUCGAGGCUUAUCAGCUUGUUGGGGGGGUAGUGGCUUACAAAGGCUUUGAGGGAUAGCCCGCCUGAGAGGGUGACCGGCCACAUUCGGCCUGAGAUACGGCCCAGACUCCUACGGGAGGCAGCAGUGGGGAAUAUUGCACAAUGGGCGGAAGCCUGAUGCAGCAACUCCGCGUGCGGGAUGACGGCCUUCGGGUUGUAACCCGCUUUCGCCUGUGACGAAGCGUGAGUGACGGUAAUGGGUAAAGAAGCACCGGCUAACUACGUG